AGAGUCUAGUGGAGGCCAGAGGAGACUAGAGGAGGCCAGUGGAGACUAGAGAAGACUAGAGGAGACUAGAGGAGACUAGAGAGUCUAGUGGAGGCCAGAGGAGGCCAGUGGAGACUAGAGAGUCUAGUGGAGACUAGUGAGCCUGCAGAGUACAGAAAACUAGAGAGCACUUUAAAACCAUUCACGGAACCAGACAAUCAGCACAUUCUCAUUCAAAUCCAUUCAUUAUUCAAUCAAUCAUUGGUUGGUUGGUUGAAUGACGCGUUGAUGUAUUGAUUGACACAUUAUUAAACUCAGUUCAAGUCACAGAUCUGGGGUCAGUUUUAGCAUCCCACAGUCCUUAACCAUUAACCCUGAGGAGAGGGAAACAGUCACAGAUCUGGGGUCAUUUUAGCAUCCCACAGUCCUUAACCAUUAACCCUGAGGAGAGGGAAACAGUCACAGAUCUGGGGUCAGUUUAGCAUCCCACAGUCCUUAACCUUUAACCCUGAGGAGAGGGAAACAGUCACAGAUCUGGGGUCAGUUUUAGCAUCCCACAGUCCUUAACCUUUAACCCUGAGGAGAGGGAAACAG